ACAAUUACACGUGUAAGUUCUACUCACCCAAGUAGCUUACACGAUUAACUUACGACGAAUUUAGUGAUGUUAACACUCUUAUAAGUGGCAUUUACCUUAGUAAAUUUGUUGUCAAUUAAUUACGUAGCCUACUUAUGUGAGUAAAACUUACAGGUUUGAUCGCGGCGUAAUCA